rfam:Rattus norvegicus chromosome 7, whole genome shotgun sequence.
GGGGGUUUAGCUCAGUGGUAGAGCGCUUGCCUAGGAAGCGCAAGGCCCUGGGUUCGAUCCCCAGCUCCG